rnacentral:rRNA from 1 species
GGGUUGUGAGGUUAAGCGACUAAGCGUACACGGUGGAUGCCCUGGCAGUCAGAGGCGAUGAAGGGCGUGCUAAUCUGCGAUAAGCGCCGGUAAGGUGAUAUGAACCGUUAUAACCGGCGAUACCCGAAUGGGGAAACCCAGUGUGAUUCGUCACACUAUCAUUAACUGAAUCCAUAGGUUAAUGAGGCGAACCGGGGGAACUGAAACAUCUAAGUACCCCGAGGAAAAGAAAUCAACCGAGAUUCCCCCAGUAGCGGCGAGCGAACGGGGAGGAGCCCAGAGCCUGAAUCAGCAUGUGUGUUAGUGGAAGCGUCUGGAAAGGCGCGCGAUACAGGGUGACAGCCCCGUACACAAAAGCGCAUAUGCUGUGAGCUCGAUGAGUAGGGCGGGACACGUGGUAUCCUGUCUGAAUAUGGGGGGACCAUCCUCCAAGGCUAAAUACUCCUGACUGACCGAUAGUGAACCAGUACCGUGAGGGAAAGGCGAAAAGAACCCCGGCGAGGGGAGUGAAAAAGAACCUGAAACCGUGUACGUACAAGCAGUGGGAGCCCCACCACUAAGCCAGUGGUGAACUCCACAUACGCAUCCUUUGCUGAGGAGACGGUUAACGGAGCGAAAGCGACGUUCAACCUCAAAAGAAGCAGAGGGGGCUUAGUGGUGGGGUGACUGCGUACCUUUUGUAUAAUGGGUCAGCGACUUAUAUUCUGUAGCAAGGUUAACUGUAUAGGGGAGCCGGAGGGAAACCGAGUCUUAACCGGGCGUUAAGUUGCAGGGUAUAGACCCGAAACCCGGUGAUCUAGCCAUGGGCAGGUUGAAGGUUGGGUAACACUAACUGGAGGACCGAACCGACUAAUGUUGAAAAAUUAGCGGAUGACCUGUGGCUGGGGGUGAAAGGCCAAUCAAACCGGGAGAUAGCUGGUUCUCCCCGAAAGCUAUUUAGGUAGCGCCUCGUGAAUUCAUCUCCGGGGGUAGAGCACUGUUUCGGCUAGGGGGCCAUCCCGGCUUACCAACCCGAUGCAAACUGCGAAUACCGGAGAAUGUUAUCACGGGAGACACACGGCGGGUGCUAAUGUCCGUCGUGAAGAGGGAAACAACCCAGACCGCCAGCUAAGGUCCCAAAGUCAUGGUUAAGUGGGAAACGAUGUGGGAAGGCCCAGACAGCCAGGAUGUUGGCUUAGAAGCAGCCAUCAUUUAAAGAAAGCGUAAUAGCUCACUGGUCGAGUCGGCCUGCGCGGAAGAUGUAACGGGGCUAAACCAUGCACCGAAGCUGCGGCAGCGACACCGUGUGUUGUUGGGUAGGGGAGCGUUCUGUAAGCCUGUGAAGGUGUGCUGUGAGGCAUGCUGGAGGUAUCAGAAGUGCGAAUGCUGACAUAAGUAACGAUAAAGCGGGUGAAAAGCCCGCUCGCCGGAAGACCAAGGGUUCCUGUCCAACGUUAAUCGGGGCAGGGUGAGUCGACCCCUAAGGCGAGGCCGAAAGGCGUAGUCGAUGGGAAACGGGUUAAUAUUCCCGUACUUGGUGUUACUGCGAAGGGGGGACGGAGAAGGCUAUGUUGGCCGGGCGACGGUUGUCCCGGUUUAAGCGUGUAGGUAUGUGUUCCAGGUAAAUCCGGUUCACUUUAACACUGAGGCGUGACGACGA